UACGUAGGGGGCAAGCGUUGUCCGGAUUUAUUGGGCGUAAAGAGCGUGUAGGCGGCCAUGCAGGUCAGCUGUGAAAACUCGAGGCUCAACCUCGAGACGUCGGUUGAAACCGUAUGGCUAGAGUCCGGAAGAGGAGAGUGGAAUUCCCGGUGUAGCGGUGAAAUGCGCAGAUAUCGGGAAGAACACCCGCGGCGAAGGCGGCGACCUGGACCGACCCUGACGCUGAGGCGCGAAGGCCGGGGGAGCGAACGGG
rnacentral:rRNA from 1 species